CAGCCAUAUCCUAUUGAACAUUGGAAUGUGGCCCUAUUUUGCGAAAGCAGGUUUUUACAGAAGCAGAACCAAGUGGAGUCAGUAAUCUCUAAAGGGGCACAAUGAAGACUGAGAAUCUGUUCAUACUUGAGGUAUCGACAUUCCCAAAUGAACGAGGCUGCACCCAUUCUGCCUGGAGUCCAGCACUGGUGCCUGAUGGCUCCCCCACAACAGUAAGAGCGUGUGCUGAGUCCACCGGAAGUUUGUGGAAAGGAGUAGAUGCAAGCUGUGCAGCAGAUGUAAAGUCUCCUGGGCUCUUAGGACUG